rnacentral:rRNA from 1 species
CCUACGGGAGGCAGCAGUGGGGAAUAUUGCACAAUGGGGGGAACUCUGAUGCAGCGACGCCGCGUGGGUGAAGGAGGAUUUCGGUAUGUAAAGCUCUAUCAGCAGGAAAGAAAAUGACGGUACCUGACUAAGAAGCCACGGCUAACUACGUGCAAGCAGCCGCGGUAAUACGUAGGGGGCAAGCGUUAUCCGGAUUUACUGGGUGUAAAGGGAGCGUAGACGGUUGUGCAAGUCCGGAGUGAAAGCCCGGGGCUCAACCCUGGGACUGCUCUGGAAACUGUAAAGCUGGAGUGCAGGAGGGGCAGGCGGAAUGCCUGGUGUAGCGGUGAAAUGCAUAGAUAUCAGAAGGAACACCGGCGGCGAAGGCGGCCUGCUAAACCGCAACUGACGUUGAGGCUCGAAAGCGUGGGGAGCAAACAGGAUUAGAUACCCGGGUAGUC